rnacentral:rRNA from 1 species
UACAGAGAGGGCAAGCGUUAUUCGGAAUUACUGGGCGUAAAGGACGCGUAGGCGGCCUCUUAAGUCGAACGUGAAAUCCCCCGGGCUCAACCCGGGAACUGCGUCCGAUACUGGGGAGACUUGAAUCCGGGGAGAGAGAUGUAGAAUUCCAGGUGUAGCGAUGAAAUGCGUAGAUAUCUGGAGAAACACCAGUGGCGAAAAACGGCAUCCUGGACCGGUAUUGACGCUGAGACGCGAAAAGCUAAAGGAGCAAACGGG